AAAGUACAUUCUGUGAUGUUUUAUGGCAAGUUAUUAUAACACAGUGCAGGACAGGCCACUGUCCUGUUGCCUCAUGUUUCUCACGGCUAUGGCCAAAUUUCGAAUCCUGGUGCCCCCGUGCCUCAUUUUCUGUUUGACUGCCCCAGACUUGCUGAUCUCCGUCUCAACAGGUCAGAACCAAAAAUUAUCGAUCUGUAUGGUGAGAUGUAUGCACUACGCAAUACAGCAGGGUUUCUGUCCAGGGCUUUUGCAAGAGAAGAUUUGAGCCUCUCAAGCCCUCACUCAAAUGGAGUUUGAUGAUGUUGACUUUUUAUGCCCUUUUUUCUGUCUUGGUGAGAGUUAUUGUAAGACUGAACUAUUGACCUGCAGCUGUCGAAGUAUUGACUAGCCUUUGUAAUAAUUACUGCGAAAGGUAGUGAGAGCAGCAUCGUCGUCAAACAUCAGUUCCCUAAUCAGGUUAUGUAGUUUCCUCGUUUUGGUCAAGCCAGUUUAAGAAGCCUUCCAUCCGAUCUACUGUGGAUAUAUAGGGCCUACUCCAUCUUCCAAGGCGCUAUGAUAGUACAGACGAAACAAUUCCGAAUAGUGUUGAUGGCCAAAACCCAUCCUUGUUUUACCCUGCUCUUGAUAGAUAAUACCGGUACCUAAAAGUCUUAGAGGAAGAACUGUCAAACUUUACAGUUCAUAUCAUGUGAAGCUAACAGUAGUUUCAAUAGCUUAUUUGGACAGACAAUUUUCACUAGUAAAAACCAUUUCUGCUAGUGUGAGCAUAUUGCUAAAUGAAGUUCAUAUUUCUAUUACUUUCUACUCAAGUCACCCAAGAGAAAUUUUAUUUAAAGCGAAAACUUUUUAUAAUGCAUUUUUCAUUGUUUUUUUUGUUUUUUUACUUAAGCAGCAUACUACUUCCACAAACCUGAUUUGAUUGUCACUAACUUUCAAAUUGAAAGGGAUCUACUACAACUGCUCAUGAAUUUCGAGAUUUUACAGCUAAUAGAGGAACAAAUUUUAUCUGCUUCCACUUAGCCAAACAGCAUGGAAAUAUGCUAUUGUAAUGAGUAGAAGAUAUUUGUCAUUUAGAGUAUCAUGCAACAGCUAAUUAUCAGUCCACACAUUUCAAGAUGAGGAAAAGAACAGUAUAAGCUACAUUCAUUGAUGCAUUAUUUAUACAAAAAUGUAUAGUCAACCCAGUCAUCACUCCAUUUUUUUAUGAAGCCAGUUACAGUUACCAUGAAGGGAUGAAAUUUCAGAUAAUAUUCUGUUUAUUUCAUGAAAUGAGAAUAGGCCUACAUCAGAAAUUGAAAUGGUCAUCUUCAGUAUUUAAUGUUUCAUCUAAAAAUGAUAAUUAUAUUAAUACAUAUUUGAUGUACAAACAAAUGAAAACCAUUCAAACACUUUUUUUUUGUGAAGUAUAGAUGAUUAAACUUGUAAGUGUCUGAACAAUA